AUUGAACGCUGGCGGCAGGCUUAACACAUGCAAGUCGAGCGGGGGAAGGUAGCUUGCUACCGAACCUAGCGGCGGACGGGUGAGUAAUGCUUAGGAAUCUGCCUAUUAGUGGGGGACAACAUCUCGAAAGGGAUGCUAAUACCGCAUACGUCCUACGGGAGAAAGCGGGGGAUCUUCGGACCUUGCGCUAAUAGAUGAGCCUAAGUCGGAUUAGCUAGUUGGUGGGGUAAAGGCCUACCAAGGCGACGAUCUGUAGCGGGGCUGAGAGGAUGAUCCGCCACACUGGGACUGAGCGACGGCCCAGACUCCUGAGGGAGGCAGCAGUGGGGAAUAUUGGACAAUGGGGGGAACCCUGAUCCAGCCAUGCCGCGUGUGUGAAGAAGGCCUUAUGGUUGUAAAGCACUUUAAGCGAGGAGGAGGCUACUCUAGUUAAUACCUAGGGAUAGUGGACGUUACUCGCAGAAUAAGCACCGGCUAACUCUGUGCCAGCCGCCGCCGUAAUAC
rnacentral:rRNA from 1 species